GACAGAGGUGCCGAGCGUUAGGCGGAAUCACUGGGCUUAAAGCGUGUGUAGGCGGAUCGUUAAGUACCUUGUGAAAUCCCACGGCUCAACCGUGGAACUGCUGGGUAUACUGGCGGUCUUGAGCCACCUAGGGGCGAGCGGAACAAGCGGUGGAGCGGUGAAAUGCGUAGAUAUCGCUUGGAAUGCCGACGGUGAAAACAGCUCGCUGGGGGUGUGCUGACGCUGAGACACGAAAGCUAGGGGAGCGAACGGG
rnacentral:rRNA from 1 species